rnacentral:rRNA from 1 species
ACUAACAAGGAUUCCCCCAGUAACUGCGAGUGAAAAGGGAAAAGCCCAGCGCCGAAGCCGCCGCCCAUCAAAAGGGGCGGAGGGCAAUGUGGCGUUAAGGAAGAGCCUCUUUGACCAGACGUUUCGUUGAUCGGACCGCGGAAGCCCGAGUCCCCCUGACCGGGGCCACAGCCCAAGGCGGGUGCAAGGCCUCUUCGGCUUCGUUCGACGGUUCGGAGGUUGCUGGCUCCUUUCCUCAGAGUCGGGUUGCUUGAAAGUGCAGCUCUAAGCGGGUGGUAAACUCCACCUAAGGCUAAAUAUGACCAUGAGACCGAUAGCGAACAAGUACCGUGAGGGAAAGUUGCAAAGAACUUUGAAGAGAGAGUUCAAGAGUACGUGAAACCGCUCGGAGGCAAACGGGUGGGCCCUCGAAGGUCGAACGGGGGGAUUCAGCCUGUCGGCACGCUCCUUCGUCCGUCCAGUCGAAAAAGGCACUCCGGUGCCGAAACGGAUCCCUUCGGGGACCGGGCUGCGGAUACGUAAGGGCGCCGGCUCGUGCACUUCCCCCUCAGUAGGACGCUGCGACCGGUCGGGUCCAAUAAAGUUUUGCGGCCAUCAGGCGAGAGAAUCGGGGCAGGUGUCCGUUUCCGUCAGGCGCGCGCGGAAUCCGGUUCGUCCGGGGACCGUCGCGUCGCGGUCGGAGUUAUAGCCCCAUCUCGACCCGUGCACCGCCACCCGACCGACAAAUGGUCACGAAUCCGUUGACGCGUGCCCGCGUAAUUUUAAACAAAAUGCGCUCGCCCUAGUCCCGGGCAGGCAGGACGCGCGAGUACAAAGUUCCUUUUCUCCCGGAAACGGGGAGGGAAUCCGUCGGACGCCGGUACAAAAAACCAUAAAGGCGACCGGCGGCUCCGCGUCCGCCGCUGGCUCACGGGGAAUCGCGUUCUGGCGUGGAGGCACGUUCGCUCACGGUCGGCAGCGAGUAG